rfam:Colwellia sp. PAMC 21821, complete genome.
ACAGUGGCUAAAUAGUUUAGUUACUGUUUUAUAUAGUAUGUUUGAGGGAAGAAGAUGAGAAUUCUUCACUGCCCCCGCAACGGUAAUUGUAGUUAUGCAUGCUGUAUUUAUAGCGAACAUAAUUAUAUCAGUCCGAGCACUCGAGCCUACUUAAUUAAACUGUGUUUU